rnacentral:lncRNA from 1 species
CAGCGGUCUGGAACUUGCAGGAACAUGAGGAAUCCAUGAAUAAAUGUCUCCUGGCAGUCACCUGCUUGCUUAAACUCUUGACGGCUUCCCUCAGCAAUUAAAACAGCAUCCACCCCUGCCUUUUUAGGGCCCAGGAGGUCCUACUUGAUCUGGCUCUCACCUGUCUUUCCAAUCUCCCUUCAUUCUUCUCCAGUACGCUCCGGCUGCUGCACUGGCCUUAUCCUGUGCCUUGGACAUACUCAAGUUUAUCUUCACCUUAGAGCCCUUGAACUUGCUGCUCCUGCCCAUGACCAGCUUCUCAUUUUGGACACAGCUCCAGGGUCACCUCCUCAGAACGGCUUUUCCUCCCCAACUCCAGUUCUCUCUGUCACAUCACCAUUGAAUUGCCCUUAUGCUCCCUUUCAUGACUUUCCGCUCACUUCUCAACCCCUGCCUGUCUUCCCUUGCAAGAAGAUCCCUCUGCAUAAUAUGGAAGAUGAACUGAAGGUGAACCAUGAUGGCAGCAGUAAAGAGGUGCUCCACUAUGAAAAAUGCAAAAGAGCAAGCCUAAGGAGGAGGACUACUUGCCACUACCACUUUCUCAUCUUUUGGGGAAAAUAAUCUCCAGAGCUUUGACUUCCAAGACAGAUCCAAGACAAGGUUGGAGAGCAGAGAGUCUAGAGGAAUAAAACAAUUCAAAGGGUUGGAAUUUAUAUCAAACAGCUUUCUAUCACUGUGACAAAAUACCAGAGAAAAUCAAUUUUAAAAGAGGAAGGAUUUAUUUUGGCUCACAGUUUUAAGUUUUAGUUCAUGCUCACUUGGAUGCAUUGCUUCUGGGCCUGUGGUGAGGCUGAACAUCAUGGUGGAAAGCAUGUGAUAGAGCAAAGCAGCUCCUGUCAUGGUGGGCAGGAAGAAGAGAGGGACAGACAGAGACAGAGAGACAGGCUGAACACAAGAAGUGGCUUUCCAGGUUACACCCCCAGUGACCUACUUCCUCCAACCAGGCCCUACCUCCUCAUUUUCACCACCUCUCAAUAGCACAUUCAAUCCUGAACCCAUGAAUGGAUUAGCCCACUGAUGAGAUUACACCCUUCAUGAUACAAUCACUUCCCCCAAGCCCACCCCUCAACAUUGCUGCAUUGGGGACCAAGCCCCCAACACAUGAGCCUGUGAGAGAUAUUUCAUAUCCAAACCAUAACAGCUACCACUUCCCACCAGUAACAGGGGUGUAGGUCAGUGGUAGAGUGCUUGCCUAGUGUGCACAAGACUCUGGGUUCAGCACCCAGAAUCACAAAACAAAAGGAGGACACCUGGAAGAGAGGACUCUUGAAUACCUAAUUAAGGCUGACUGUAUGGGAAAAAUAUGGGAGUCACCCAUCAUUUGAAUUCCUUGGGUGUUGGUUAUCAGACACUGUCACGGCUUUUUCUCAUGAUGUAUUAUGACGGCAGGCCCUCCAUGCAGUAGUUUUCCCCAUUCACUCCAACUCCUUCACUUUAAAGGUUUGCUUUUCUCCCCAUUCCUUCUUUUUGCUUCUCACAGAUUGCUCAUGCUGUGAGCAUAUUCAAUUUCAUUUGUUCAAGGGCUGCAGGAAGGAAGAUCUUCUGUCUUAGUCAUUUUCCUCCUCACUGGAACAAAAUACCUGCCACCUGCAACUUAAAGGAGGGGAUAUUUAGUUUAGCUCCUGGUUACAGUUCAUGGUCAGCUGUCUCCAAGGUAGGAAACAGCAUGGCAGAGGGGCAUGGUGGAGAAAACGCUUCUCUUAUUUUGGUAACCCAGAAGCAAAGAACAAGUUAGGAACUGUGAAGAAGGUACAUCCCUCCAGGUCACUCCUUCAGGGAUCCUCCUACUGGGACUAGACCCCACUUCCUAACAGCAAGUCAACUAUAGCAUCCCCAUAAUUCAGUCACUUUCCAAAAACCCCACCUAUGAGUUCAUGAGGCUCUUGGGGAACAUAUAGAUAUAAAUCACGUCUUCCUUCCUAUCUCUGUCAGCAGGAAUCAAACAAAAACAGCAAACCUGCUGAGGAUAGAGGCAAAGUCGAAUGGCCUCUGAAUUCUGCAAGGAGUUUGUUGAUUUCUUGCUUGCUUGGGCUUUCUGCCCUCCUCUUCCAUGCCUCCUUUCCCUGCAGUACCUCCAGUCUUCCCGCCGGGGGAUAUUUUCCCCAAGCUUCACCUCCAAUUCUCACAUCAGGGACCCAGCUCACAGUUCUAUGCUAACUUUAGGUCAGCCUCAGUCUUGGUCAGUAGAAAAGCCUGAAGGUAGAGCAGAGAAGCAUUUCAUCCAUGCCCCCAGCCCCACUCGCUUGGCCUUUGAUUCUAAUCCCUGGACUCUUCAACUUGUGGUCUUUGCCAAUUAUUCUCCAGCUUCUUGCCCCAGACCUGUUCUCUAUUCAUCCAGCUCUGUGCUCCCCGAAAGCUGCUUCCUCUGGAAUUUAUUACCUCGGCUUCAUUAUUAACUGGGUUUGGCUGGUAGGAGACACUAGCACGAGGUAGAAAGGGGGUUAGAAAGAGUCGAGGACUUAUCUGCUCCCCUUGGUGCAGCCCUCUUGCAUCCACCCCUAGCAUCUCUCUGCAACACCCAUUCCCAUGGGGAUUAGUUAACCCUAAAGAUGGACCAAAUAUAGAUUUAUAAUAAAUUAUUUAUUGAAUGUAAACCAUAUCCUCAGUUUCAUAUAAGUUUCUUUUUCUUUUAUUGGAUUAAAAAUGAAGUAGGAUAACCUAGAAUCAUGGCAUUUUAGUAAAUGUUUUUAUCUCCAUACACAGGGCAAAGAAAAUUGUUCACCUGAUGUUAUUUAUGAGUGAUGAGAUUUUAGGUGCUUUUUAAACCUUGUUUUUAUACUUUUCCUACAUUGCUAAAAUUCUUAAAAAAUACUUAUUAUUUUCCAAAAAUACUACUUUUGUAAUUAAGAACAGUUCUAGCUUGGGGAUAUAGCUUCAUGGUAUAGCAUUUGCCUACCUUGGGUUCAAUCUCCAGCACCAAAAGUAAAAAAACUUUCUAUCGGGAGGCUGAGAACAGGAGGAUCACCAGGAGUUGGAGGCCACAUAGUGGGAACUAUGUAGUGAGUUCAAAGCCAGCCUGAACUACAUAGCAAAACCCUGUCUCAAAAACCAAAUAAGUUCAUAAAAAGAUAGAUAGAUAGAUAUAGAUAGGCAGACGGACAGACAGAUUCAACCUCAAGGUUGAAAAGGCGAUUAUCUAUUGUCAGUAUAUCUCAUUUAUUUUUAAAAAUUCCAUAUAAACAUUCCACUCCUUUCUCAAAUUGGCUUGAGUUGAAUUCUUUCUAGGGGAAAUGAAGUGGGAGGCAGACAUAAUUAUCCAUGUAAACAAACCAGCUUUCCACUCCACUAGUAUAAAUGCUCCAAUGUGUGUUAAUGUCAUAACUCCAAAACACAACUCAAUAUUGAGAGAUAUGUCUGAGGCAGUACUAUCAUGCCCUAAAUGUAUACCCUGGUUAUAUUUGUCAACUAAAUUUAAGGUUUUUAAGACUAUCAUUGCAAGCCAGGCCUGGUGGCACAUGCCUGUAAUCCCAGCACUCAGGAGGCUGAGACAGGAAGAUCGCUGUGGGUUUGAGGCCAGCCUGGGUGACAUAGUGAGCUCAAGGCCCUGAACUACACAGCAAGACCCUGUCUCAAAAAAAAAGACUCAUUCCAUGUGGUUUAUGUAUAUGAACUUUGAAUCCUAGUAGGUCAGAAUCCUGGUUCUCCCUUUCUAGCUAGAGACCUAGUGUAAAAUAAAGACCAUCAGUUUACUUCAUUUAUAAAAGAGGAAUAAUAUCAUCCUACCUAUUUUUUAGGAUUUUCAGACAGUUAAUAAAUAAUAGUAAAUGUUUACAGUACACAGUAGGAAUUUGACAAAUGAAAUCCACCUGAUAAUCAAGUGUUUAGAAAUGUUCACCCAAAAGAGUUCACCAAAUUUUUGCUUGAGAGUGACUUUUCUCUUGCAUCUUAUUUGUUAAAUCAUUGAAUACAUUUGGAGGAGUAAUCAGAAGACAGAAAACGUAAAUGCAAUAUCUAAGUCAUUCUCAAUCAAAAUUCAUAUGUAGGAGCUGGGCGUGGUGGUGCACACCUGUAAUCCCAGCACUCUUGAAGUUGAGGCAGGAGGAUCACCUUGAGUUCGAGGCCAGCCUGGGCUAAAUAGUGAGUUCAAGUCCAGGCUGAACCACAUAGUGAGACCCUGUCUCAAAAAAAAAAGAAAAAAAAGAAAGAAAUAUUCAUAUGUAAGCACAAAUAUAACCAUUUAAAUUUAUUUAGUUACCCCUUAGGAACUGCACGUAUAUUUGUGUAAAUAAAUACAAGGCAUGGAAGGACCUAGAAAAUACCCAUUCUCUUUUAUCUGUGAUGGUUACUUUUUUCUUCUCCUGUUUUUGUCUUCUUCCUAUUUCCUCCCAUCCUAUAUGGAUUUGGGCUCACUUCUCUCUCUAGUUUUUUAUCAGGAGAACACUCUUUGCUAUGCAAAUGUUUCACAAGGUUCUAGCUUUAGUAUCUUCUCAGAAUUAAAGACCAACAUUUCAAAUACAUGUUUGGGAUCUCUAUGAGGAUGUCCUGAUCACACCUUAAACUGGCUUUGCCCAAAGUUGCACUCCUCCCAAACCAGCACCUCUACCUCUGAGAUUCUCAUUGCUAAGAUUGCAAAUCUGAGUUACUUUUGAUCCUUCCUUUCCUGACAUCCUAUAUUUAUGCAAUUCAUCUUUAGUCCUCUACGUUGAUAUCCUAAUUAUCCAGUCUUUCCUUACCAUUCCUACUUCUACUCCCAACUCAAAGAUUCUUGCCCUGAUUUCCAUGAAAACCUAAAUGAUUUCCCAACCUCCAGUCCCCUCCCAUUACAGUCCAGCUUGCUUAAUGUACCUAGGUGAAUCUUCCUAAAUCACAAAAGCAAUAAUUUACUUUCAGUCUCAAAAUCUCCCA